CCUACGGGUGGCAGCAGUGAGGAAUAUUGGUCAAUGGGCGCGAGCCUGAACCAGCCAAGUAGCGUGAAGGAUGACUGCCCUACGGGUUGUAAACUUCUUUUAUAAAGGAAUAAAGUGAGGCACGUGUGCCCUUUUGUAUGUACUUUAUGAAUAAGGAUCGGCUAACUCCGUGCCAGCAGCCGCGGUAAUACGGAGGAUCCGAGCGUUAUCCGGAUUUAUUGGGUUUAAAGGGAGCGUAGACGGGUUGUUAAGUCAGUUGGGAAAGUUUGGGGCUCAACCGUAGAAUUGCAAUUGAUACUGGCAGCCUUGAGUAGAGUUGAGGUAGGCGGAAUUCGUGGUGUAGCGGUGAAAUGCUUAGAUAUCACGAAGAACUCCGAUUGCGAAGGCAGCUUACUAAACUGCCACUGACAUUGAUGCACGAAAGUGUGGGUAUCAAACAGGAUUAGAUACUCUUGUAGUC
rnacentral:rRNA from 1 species